rnacentral:rRNA from 1 species
AUGGCCGCCUCCGAGGCCGGGUCUAUGAUGGGCAGGGUGGCGCGCGAGUGCGAGUGCGGCGGCGACAUCUCCGCCUCCCAGGAGGACGCCCUCGCCGCCUCCCCCUUCCUCGGCGCCGCCGGCGACCACGACGAGGACUCGGAGGCAUUCGCCACCGCUCUCGAUCUCUCCCAGCAGCAGCAGGAGGAGGACGCCGUCACCAUGUGCACCCUCCCCUCCACCCCUUCCCCCACCAGGUCGCCGUCGCCUCCCUCCCCGCCCCCGCGCCGGAAGCCGAGGGUGUGCGUGAGGAAGGUGAGGGUGAGGGGCGCCAAGAUCCGCACGCCGACACCCAGCCCAGACCAACAGCCGGAGCAACCAGAGGAGCAGCCCCAUGCGGAUGCGGAUGCGGAUCCCCUCUACAGGGCGGUGCAAAUGGUGGGCGCUCUCACCGGCGCCACCACCGACAGGAGCAGCAGCGGCAGCAAUGAGAAUGGCAUGGAGGACUUCCUCACGCUCGCCCGCCGGCGCGGCCUCCUCUAG